CACAGAUCUUAGGUAGAUCAAAAAGUUUCGUAUGCUGGAGAGAAGCAGCAAUACCUAUUGGAGAAGAUGCUGGUGAAAUACUCAUGAGAGGAGAUACUCAAUAAGGAAAAGGUCUCCAUCAGAGAGAAAGCUGGAGCCACUAGAAAGAAUGUUUUACUCGGUAUUUGUGCAUAUUGUCCCAAGAACAGGUGAAAAUAUGAAAUGACUAAUUAGUAGACUUGCACAGAAACUGUAUACCAGAGAAGUUUGAAUUUACAAAAUGUCUUGAGACCCAUAUGGCUGGAUUCUAUUUCAUCUUUCUAGUUUUAUGAAUUGUUACUGCUUAGCAUUAUUUUUCAAUGUGGAAAUGAAUUCUAUUUCUAAUUUUAUUCAUAUUUGCACAGCAGGAUGUCUUUUUACAUCCCUUUCUUUCUAGGGAAAGCCCCAAAAUUCAAGUGAACUCAAUGUCUAUAUUAAGUAAUUUUGUAAGUAGCACCCUUGCUUAGGAAUGUUAGAGAAGGGGAUGUUGGGGUGAAGCUGGAAUGAAGAACUAGGGAGUCUAAUUUUCUCAAGGAGGAAAAGGAAAUCUCAAAUCUGUGAACCCAGGGCAAACCAGGAUGGAGGGUAAGGAUGAAGAUGGGCCCAUGUUGCCAAACUCUGUACCCUCAGCCAGAUAUCCCCUGUACUAGAUCUAAACAGAAUGCAGACUCAAAGACUACUGAGUAUAUAAUACAGAGAUUUGAAAGUAAUAUAUCUACAUCUGAUGAGAUGUCUUAAAGUACUAGGCAAGUCAUGGAUGCUCUUUAAGCCUCAAUUUCCUCAUCAGGAAAAUGGAAACAAUAAACUUUGUACUAUUUACAUCACAAUGCUGUUAAAAGAUACAAAUCAAACUCGUUCAGUGAAUUAUAUUAAAAUAUGCUACUCUCUUCAAAAAUUAUGUUCAGCUUUGGGAACAGAAACACAGAAGAAAAAUAUAUGAUCAAUCAUGUACUUUGAUGGGGAUAUGAUUAGGGUUUAAUGUUAAAGGAUCACUCUACUGCAAAUAUGAAAACAUGGAAAUAGGUUUUGAACAAUGAUACAUGUAUAACCCAGUGGAAGU
rnacentral:lncRNA from 1 species